rnacentral:lncRNA from 1 species
CCGUGGCAGGAGGAGCACACACAGAUCCCUCCUGCCAAGCCCAACAAGUGUUGGUGGACCUGUCCAAACAAGUAUGAAAAAAUUCCAUAUAUACCAUUAAAAAUUUAACUCAUCUUAUGCUAUUAAAAUUUAGGUGACGUGCGAUUGAAAAUUUAAUUUCAUCCCUUACGUACUGUUACCAUAUAAAUUUGACGUGAAAAAGUUCCGUAUCACCGUUAGAUCGUGUCCAUCAUUCACUGAUUUCCCGAUUUUACCCCUCCUCAUCCUGAACAGUGAACACCGUCGGCAACACAUCUCUCCUCUUCCCCCAAAUCGGCAGUUUCCCAACCGGCGUCGAGCCACUGCCGCGGGCCCUCAAUCGAGCCAGAGCGCGGCGCCAAGGUCCCGCGUGCGGGGAUCCUCGAUCCGCGGCCACGUCCCGCACCUCCGCUCGGUCCCGCUGCUCGGCCGCCCAGACGACCGCUCUAAAGAAUCGGCGCAAGGGGCGACGAGCCCAACAGCGGACGGCGUCCUCGCUCGAGCGGACGCGCUCCUCGAUCCCGCCCACCCUGAAGAAUUGGUGCAUCUCGUCGUCCGCUCCCGCCGCCUCCGCCCUCACUUCUGCGCCCUCCGUCCUGGAGCAGUGCACCUGCUCUCCGGCCGGCGCCCUCGGAACAGGAGGCAGGGGCGCCCCUCAAUCCAGUGGAGCCAUCAGCCUGCAUCUACCCGGCACGUGUGAGGAUGGCAACGCCCUGAAACUUCUGAACUUCCUGCAAGGUACUCCGUAAAGUUCAUCAAUGGAUGCUUUGUAUGGACAUCAAUGAUACUUGCUUGCCUGUCGAUGGGUGCUUGUUCUCUGGAUAUGUGUUUCGAUUUGAUCGGUGUAUCGGUGAACCAAUUUAGUUUCAGAAAAAAAUCAGUGAACCAAUAAACAUGUAUGAUCAAUGCAUAUGUAUUCGUGUGUUGCUUUUUCUGUUCAUCUUUUUUCUUCUAGGGUAUUAUUGUCUUUUCUACGUUCACUUAACAGACAUCUAGCUCUUAUGUGACAGCAAUGACACGCAAGGGAUGUAAUUAAAUUUCCAAUAACACUGAAUAUUUAAAUUUGAAUGGUAUAGAAGGGAUGAUUUAAAUUUUCAA